UUCUUCAGGAAUUGCAAAGAAAUCCGAAACUUUCAAGUCCAUGGGCUCAACGUUAUCUUCUAGGAGGAUGUUUAUUUCAACAUCAUUUUCUGGCUUUUUAAGGGACGCCGAUAUAGUUUUACCAAAUGCUUUGGCAUAUGACAGGUAUGCGUCCAGUGCUCCUUUCCUCCACAUCGAUAACAUCUACUUUCAGAGUUCGUCCUUGGCGCUGCUUCAGGAGCUCCCUCUUUGUUUUGCACUACUGGUGCUGAGGGUUAUUAUUUAUUGCAAGACAAUCACCCUGAUUAAAG
rnacentral:lncRNA from 1 species